rnacentral:rRNA from 1 species
UACGGGGGGAGCAAGCGUUGUUCGGAUUUACUGGGCGUAAAGGGCGCGUAGGCGGCGUGACAAGUCACUUGUGAAAUCUCCGGGCUUAACUCGGAACGGUCAAGUGAUACUGUCGUGCUAGAGUACAGAAGGGGCAACUGGAAUUCUCGGUGUAGCGGUGAAAUGCGUAGAUAUCGAGAGGAACACCGGUGGCGAAGGCGGCUUCCUGGACCGACACUGACGCUGAGGCGCGAAAGCUAGGGGAGCAAACGGG